CUCGUAGGCGGUUCGUCGCGUCCGGUGUGAAAGUCCAUCGCUUAACGGUGGAUCCGCGCCGGGUACGGGCGGGCUUGAGUGCGGUAGGGGAGACUGGAAUUCCCGGUGUAACGGUGGAAUGUGUAGAUAUCGGGAAGAACACCAAUGGCGAAGGCAGGUCUCUGGGCCGCCACUGACGCUGAGGAGCGAAAGCGUGGGGAGCGAACA
rnacentral:rRNA from 1 species